ensembl:lncRNA
AUAUAGGACAUUUUAAAAUUGUGGAAUACUUCUAUUUCACUUUCCCACAACAAAUAGAGGGAAAUAAGCAAUAAAUAUCUUUAUUAAUCAUGAUUAACUCGUGAACAUACCUCUUUUCCAAGUAUUUGUACAUUCACAUUGUGAUUUUUAUGUUGUAUACUAAUAAUUUAACUAUGUUUUCAGUUAGUAAAACUGCUUUUCCUUUAAAAAGAGCUCAAUAUAGUCACAUGCUUCAUUAUUCCAGGAGAUUUACCACCUGCACAAACCAGAAAAAAACCCAAGUAAAUAUAUGAUGUUUGACUGAGAAACAUGGCAAACAUUUAAAUUAAAAAUAUUUUUAGAGUAAAAGAUACAUUGCCCUUAAUCUCCCUCAUAAUAUGCCCCCUCACUUCAAACACUCUUACGCCAUUGUUCUUGCCACUUUCUAAAGCAAUUCUGGAAGUCUUUUUUUCAUGUCUUUAGUUGCACUAUCCUGGUUGCCUCGACAUCGUCAAUCAAUUCAAAAUGUUUACUUUAAUAAUCACUUUGAGGUGAAGAAAUAUCACAGUGCCAGAUCGAGUGACUAAUGUUGAUGAGGGCACACCAUAAUAUUUUUACAAGCCUGCUUUUCUGUUGGAUGGCACUUGGUAGCAGCACUCACUGUAUUUUUUUUUAUCACAGCUCCUAAAGACACUCCUGAAAGAGAACUUCCAGAACUGCUUCAGAAAAUAAUGAGAAUAGUGGUAUACACGUGUUCCUAGUAAAGGGGAGUAUUUUGAAGGGUGACUAAUGACAAUGUGUCUUUUAUUAUAAUUUUUUAAAUAAAUAAAUAUUCAUCAUAGUUUUGAUCACACGUCAUGGAUGGCUAAUUUCAUGAGUAAGCUAUAAAUCUCCAGUGAUGAAGGAUUAUACUGAAUCUAAAGGACUAUAAUAGAAAAUAUAAGGCUGUGAGGUCACAGAAAGAAGUUAUUUUCAUAAUAAAUAGGAAGUUAAACAUUUGUGAUGCAGUGCUUGAAGUGAUUUGUACAACAGUUCCUACACAUAAAAAUAUGGUGAAUAAAUAUUUGUACCCCAUCAGAAGAGAUAAAUGCCAAGACAAAUACUUUUAGAGAAAGAACAGCUCCAAGUACCACAGGGGAAAUUUUUAAAAUAAAUAUUUAUUCCAAAUAAAAACCUAGGAAAACCAGGCAAGAGCAAGAAAAUUUGAUGUAAUUAAAAGAGAAAAGGUGGAACCAUUUCUGAACCUGGCACUGGCCCCUGAACAAUUCUGAGAAUGUGACAUUUAACAGUCAAUCAUUGUUGCAAAUGUAUUCACACAAUCAAUUCACACCUAAUUAAGCAUAAACUUCAUUCCAGGCUCUGUCCAUGGUAUGAAGGAUUUAGAGAUGAAUGAAAUGCUGACUUAGAUUUCAUGGAAUUCUUCGGAAAAGAGAUGAGGAAGCAAAACUUAACAGUGUAUUAACUAAUAUUAAUCUCAGAUGAAGGUUCCAAGAGGAAAUGACUUUGAAGGUUAUGUAGGAAAGCCCUAGGAUGAGAGGUAAGCGUAGACAACAUUCCAGUAUACAAGGGCUCAGAAGUACCAGAACACAGGUGGUAUUUAGGGAAAUGAGAAGUACUACUUCGUUGCAUAUCACAUCCUGCCAGGUAAGAAAAUGAAACAGACCCAAGUUGUGAUGCCAUGUAUACCACAGCUGGAAUCAAGUGUUUCAGUGUGUCUGGACUUGACAUUUUUCUGGGGACUGGCACGUUGGAGGCCUAUGUAUUCUGAAGCAACAGCAGAUGUCACUAGUGUCUUUUAUCCAUCGUUGGUCAUUCUGGGGCCACAAGGACAAAUACCAUCAUCAUCUCUGAGGAGAAAUGACCAGAAAAUUUUGAGCAAGGAAAUUUAGCCUACAACCAGCAAGGGAUUUUGAGCCAAGCAUUAGAAGCCAAGAUAGAGUUCCAAAUGGGAAUCUGAGAAAAAAGAUAGAGCAGUACAGAGUAGUGGAACAAAAUAGGCAAAGAGAACAGCAGUGGAUGAAUUGAAGCCCACAAAAUGUCUUAAUCUACAGAUUUUUAUAUCGGCAACCUGUUACACUCUGUUUUCUGCAAAUGAAAUGACACAUUAUAAUCUGGGAUAUUAGAGUUUUUACUUCUGCAAUCUAUAAACUUCUAACUAUGCAGGCGUUAUUCAAAGGAUCAGUAUAGCUGUCUGGAGGAACAUGAGUUAAUACCCAGUGUUCCUGUUAACAUCUCCAGCUAUCCUGAAAAGAAGUAGCACUCUGGCCAAUGGGAAUGAUACUGAAGUCACUCAGUGGACUACAACAAGGGCCAAUCCAAGAGAUAACUUGGAAUUAAGAAUAAGAAAAGAUGGCUGCCCUGGAGGAUCAAGCAGUUUCUCUCCUUUCUGGCACUUCCUGAGUUCUGCCCUGUCCUACAUUAAUCAUUGUGAAUUUGACUCUCCCUCAUGGCCCAUUGAGCUGUGGAUCAAU